ACUCCUACGGGAGGCAGCAGUGGGGAAUUUUGCGCAAUGGGGGAAACCCUGACGCAGCAACGCCGCGUGAGUGAUGAAGGCUUUCGGGUCGUAAAGCUCCGUCGAGGGGAAAGAAGUGUAUUGUGGCUAAUAUCCACGAUACUUGACGGUACCCCUAAAGGAAGCACCGGCUAACUCCGUGCCAGCAGCCGCGGUAAUACGGGGGGUGCAAGCGUUGUUCGGAAUUAUUGGGCGUAAAGAGCGUGUAGGCGGUUUGUUUAGUCUGAUGUGAAAGCCCUGGGCUCAACCCAGGAAGUGCAUUGGAUACUGGCAGACUUGAAUACGGGAGAGGGUAGUGGAAUUCCUAGUGUAGGAGUGAAAUCCGUAGAUAUUAGGAGGAACACCGGUGGCGAAGGCGGCUGCCUGGACCGAUAUUGACGCUGAGACGCGAAAGCGUGGGUAGCAAACAGGAUUAGAUACCCUGGUAGUCCACGCCGUAAACGAUGAGAACUAGGUGUUGCGGGUA
rnacentral:rRNA from 1 species